AUACGGAAGGUCCGGGCGUUAUCCGGAUUUAUUGGGUUUAAAGGGAGCGCAGGCGGAGAUGCAAGCGUGACGUCAAAUUUCGGGGCUCAACCCCGUCUCGCGUCGCGAACUGCGUCCCUUGGUUGCGGGAAGGGGAGGCGGAACUCGUGGUGUAGCGGUGAAAUGCAUAGAUAUCACGAAGAACUCCGAUCGCGAAGGCAGCCUUCCGGCCCGUCAACGACGCUCAUGCUCGAAGGUGCGGGUAUCAAACAGGAUUAGAUACCCUGGUAGUCCGCACAGUAAACGAUGGACACCCACGGUUUGGCCUGUAUGGCUGAGCCGCCAAGCGAAAGCGUUAAGUGUCCCACCUGGGGAGUACGCCGGCAACGGUGAAACUCAAAUGAAUUGACGGGG
rnacentral:rRNA from 1 species